rnacentral:rRNA from 1 species
GACGAACGCUGGCGGCGUGCCUAAUACAUGCAAGUCGAGCGGAUCUCUGAUGGAGCUUGCUCCUGAUGAGGUUAGCGGCGGACGGGUGAGUAACACGUAGGCAACCUGCCCUUAAGACUGGGAUAACAUUCGGAAACGAAUGCUAAGACCGGAUACGCAGAGUUGGGGCAUCUCGACUCUGGGAAACACGGAGCAAUCUGUGGCUUAAGGAUGGGCCUGCGGCGCAUUAGCUAGUUGGUGGGGUAACGGCCUACCAAGGCGACGAUGCGUAGCCGACCUGAGAGGGUGAACGGCCACACUGGGACUGAGACACGGCCCAGACUCCUACGGGAGGCAGCAGUAGGGAAUCUUCCACAAUGGGCGCAAGCCUGAUGGAGCAACGCCGCGUGAGUGAGGAAGGCUUUCGGGUCGUAGAGCUCUGUUGCCAGGGAAGAAUAAGGGCCAGUUAACUGCUGGUCCGAUGACGGUACCUGAGAAGAAAGCCCCGGCUAACUACGUGCCAGCCGCCGCGGUAAAAC